UAUAGGACGCUGACACCUGAGCCAAAUGAGACGAAAGCUAAUGUGAAAAAUCACCCUCAUUUUGUGCCUCAGUUUUGGUAAAUAAAACCCUUAAUCCUCUUCCUGCUGAAACCUUUCUAUGUCGCGCAAGAAAUAGUUGCUGAGCUUAUAAAACACAGACAUUCAAAAUGACCCGGGAUUACUGAGUUCAUCUAGAUGAAGAGAUGGAAUCAGUGCCUGGUUUUAAGGGGAAAAGUGCUCCUGAAGCCCCAGCUGUGGUUCCUGACACCCAUUUCAGACAGCUCGCCACCUGGAGCUCCAAGACCAAGAAUACCGCUUUCUUUCUAGUUUCCGUGGAAUGGCAGGCCUGACUCCCACAAUAACUACCCAUCAUUGGGAAUGAACGCCGAAACAAAACACACUGGUGUUUCAUUUCUCUAUAGUUGUAAGAUGGAACUGAAUGAAGGUGGAGAAGAGAAGCACAAAAGCAAGAAGCCUACAAUAGAAACAGUACUGGAAAAGAGGAACAGCAUCCAGUGAUCAUGGAGUUAGCUGUGUACAGCAUGAUUCCAGCAGGCCCUUUUCCUAACCUUCAUCUGGCGAUGGAUGGAGAUAGAGACAGAGACCCACACUGGAGCACCGGACUG